CGCUACUUACAGCACCUCUAAAUCAGGACUUCUUAACCCCGGGUUUCUGAAUCCACAGAACAAUGGACAGAGAAAAGGAGACUCAGGAGCAGGAUUUGUGUGUGUGUCUGCAUGUGUACGGUUGGGUGGGGAACCACUUGCCUCUAGAGACACGCAGAGCAAAAGCCCCUUUCUACACUUUUCAGAUAAUACAGAAUGUAAGUACUUUGAGGACAGGAACUCUCAUUUUUUUUUAUCUUUCUAUCCCAGUAAAUGGCACACUGUCUUUUACAGUUAUGGUUUGAUAUAUACUUGUUGGACUAAAUUGAGUUGAAAUUGGCAAACAAUGGGAAAAUGCAAAUGGAGAGUAAAUCAGCUGGGUGAUUCUUGCUAUGAUUUGGUAUCACUUUUAAAUGAAGUACAUUUCAAGCAUCAAAGAGAAUGGUACUUGUAAACUUUCCAGGCAGCCAAUGGAGCCCUCUCAACAGAACAGAUAAUUAUAGUUCUUUCUUCAAUACAGGAAAGACUGAGACUUAACCCUAUUUGUUUGGUGAGGCAUUAAUGCUAGGGAUGCUUAUUCACACAUCUGGGAGGCCUGGGGUCAAUGGGCUUUCCAUUAGGAGAAAAGUACCUUUAAGGGACAUUUAUGUAAUGUUGAAAGGUUAGCUCUGUUACCUAUAUUCAUUCAUCUAAACCUAACAUAAUCUCAGAUAAGGUUAUGGGAAUGAAAGAUAAGAUUAUGCCUAAUGGACAUAUGGGAAAAUUGAGGCUGAGAAUUGUUAAAGCAUGUGCUCACAAUCACAGAUAAUUGGUGAAUUGGUGUCAGAGUCAGGGUUUGAAUCUUUUUGACUCCACAACUGAUAGUGUAUUCAUUAUGCCACACUGAUGUGCAUACACACAGUAAUUAAACAAUCCACAAAAACAUCAGUUUUCUUUAAAGGCCCAGUUCCACAGCAAAAAAGGUAAAUAAAUAACAAAAACUAUGUUUCUGUCA
rnacentral:lncRNA from 1 species